UUUAAAAAAUUGUUCAAUACUUUUAGUUCGUUGCAAUUCGAACCGCAAUCAAUUUAAUCCUAAUAAUAAUACAAAUAUUAUUUUUUAAUAAAUAAUUUAUUUUUAUUAUAAACCGGUUCAGUGGCAGUUGGAUUAAAUUUUAAGGGUCAAUUUAUACAUGCCCCUCCAAAUAUAAUUAAUAAUAAAUAUAUUUUUACAAAUUUCAACUUUCAUAUGUUGUAUAAAAAUUAUAAUAUUUUCAAAUAUAUUUUUCUGAUUUGUUGCCUUAAAAAAUUAUUUAUAUUUUCAAAUUUAUCAUCAUAAAUAUGUCUCUUCAGAAGUCAUAACGGUAUAAUAUAAGAUGAAUAAAAAUAUCAAAAACAAAUAAAUAUUAAGUAUUUAAUUUAUGAUUAAUUGAAAUUUUCUAAUGAUAAAAAUAUAUUUAAAAAUAUCAGAAUUUUUAUAUAAAUAAUAUAUAAAAAUUAGACUUUAUAGAUAUAUAUUAUUAUUCAUUAUAUUUGUAAUGAUAUGUAUGAAAUUAAUCAAAA
rnacentral:lncRNA from 1 species